AAAAAGUUUUAAAUAAAGUUUAAUGUGGUUGCAUGCUUUUUAAUACAAUUACAUGCUUCUUAGUUCGAGGUUAAAUUUAAGUUCAUUAUUAUUUUAGCUCACACAGUAUUUUUUGACCUCAAAUUUAAGAGUUUGAUACAUUUGAUUGGAGCCCAUGCCAAUUUUUCAAUUUUAACAAUCCGAUGUGACUUUUGGAUAUCAUUCACGCUAUUUUGUCUUCUUAUAUGGCCCAAUUGCUCGGUGUGUCCACAUAGUGUAUUUGAAUGCUUUUUAAUAUGUUAGCAUAGUUUCUUUUUUAAAGUUACUUACACGCUAUUUGAUGCAUUCACAGCGUAGUUGUACUCUUUUUAAUGUAUUUGCACUCUUUUUAAAGCUCUUGCACGUUGCACUUGUAUGUUUUUAAUAUGCUUGUGUACUUUUCAGUGCGUCUACAUGAUAUAUUUGCAUAAUAUAGUUAAUUAUUUUUUUAGUAAUUUCACAUAUUUGGUGCAUUCCCAUGCUUUUUGGUGCUACUGCACUGUGCGCUUGCAUGUUCUCCGAUGCUUUACAUGAUACAUUUGCAUGCUUUUAGAAUGGUGGAAUGCUUCAUAGAGUAAUUGCACGCUUCUCAAGGAAAUUGUACACUUCUCGAGAUGGUUGCACACUACCCACAUUAGUGGCGUUUUUCUUAAGGAGGAUGUAUGGUUCUCUUGUAAGCAAGGUGCUUGUUGAGGCAAUUGCUUGCUUUUUGAGGCAAAUGAACUUUUUUCGAAGUAAUGACACGCUUCUCGAUAAAAAGUUGUACGCUUCUCGUGGUAACACUGAAAUUUAACAUUAUAUUAUAAUGUGUGCAUGAUUCAAAAAUAGAUGGAUUUAAAAUAUUUGCCCAAAAGUUUAUUGUUUAAAUGCAUGCAUGGUUUCAUGUUAAAAUUUUAAAGAUCGCCUUACGCUUUUUGUCUGCUUAUGUAUACACAUUGUGGAUUCGGUGGCGUUAAAGGCGAGUUAGAAUCUUUUAGGUACUUUAAGAUAUGACUUUUUGUAUCUUUAUACAUGCAAUUGUAAAUCUUCUUAUGUAUCUAAUUUUUCAUCAAAGUAUUCAUAAGUUGCAAUUUCCUCAGGUUCAAACCCAACUGCACAUGAUUCUUGUAUUGGCAUGUGUUUAACGGGCUUUAGAUGAGUUGAAUUUUCCCUAUAAGUAAGCAUUGAUGCAAGUCUUAACAACUACAUGAUAAAUGUAUUGUUCCCCAAAAUGUAAAGCAAUGUAGAAGCCUCAUGUGGAUUUUUUGUUGACAUACAACUUAAUUCAUUCUUCUUCUUUUUUUGCGUAAGGCUUUUAAUAAAGGUGAUAAUGAUAAUAUAAAAGUCGAUAAAAUGACCAAAAUGAUUCUGCUCUUUAUGAAAGAUCAAAAUGGUCCAUAAUUAUUAAAUGAUCAUUUGGUCCCUCAAUUUCUUAAAGUGGAACCAAAAUAGUUCCAUCAUAGGUCUAUUUUUAUUUCUUUUUAAAGACUUGAGCUUUAUGUUUCAUGUUAGCCAUGAAGAUUUACUAAUAUGACUUCGCUAGGGCUGUCAAAAUUGGGUCAUGGGUCGGGUUUGGGUCCAACCUGAAACUGACCCGGCACUGUGCGGGUCAACCCGAACCCGACCCGUUUUUGCAAACAGGUUGUUUUUUCGGACCAUAACCUGACCCGCUUCGGGUUCGGGUCAACCCGAACCCGACCUGCAUAGUUUGCUCCUUGGACGACGUUCCCUUCCAGUCUGAAUCGAAAGUUACAACAUUUUGAUCGGAAGCAACAACGGGUGUUCAUUCGCUGUGAAGGUUUCUCCCUUUAGCCAUUCGACUUCUCUCCUUGGAGGCUUGGACGAUGUUCCCUUCUCGUCGGAUCGAAAGUUACAACAUUUUGAUCGAAAGCAACAGUGGGAGUUCACUCGCUAUGAAGGUUUUCUCCCUUUCGUGCACUUCUUCGUAGUCGUUCGACUUCACUCCUUGGACGAUGUGUCGAUGUUCCCUUCCAAUUGGAUCGGAAGUUACAACAUUUUGAUUGGAAGCAACGACGGGAGUUCGCUCACUGGUUGGAUUCCGGGUCAAAACCGGGUUUCCGAGUCAACCCGAACCCGGCCCGGAAUUCGAAACAGGGUAGCAAAGCAAGCUUUAUUCAGCAAAAAAAGGAUGCGGAAGCUGUGAGGAACUCAGAAUUUGAUAGCCCUGCAUCUUCUAAUUCUUCUGCUAAUCCUAUUCACGUGCCUUCACAAUUUAGUGGUUACGGAAGUCGUAAUGGAACACAACAAUCAGAAUAUGAAGAUGCCGAUUCAUUGUAUCUAAAGCGAAGUUCGAUACAUCAAAUAAUUGCCAGACAAGUUCCAGAUACAACUCUUUCCCUGAGAUGCAGCAGUAUGGACCUUGGAUGAGUGUUCAACAUCCCAGUCUUUGUGCUCCAGUUCUAACUCAAAAUGACCAAUGCAAGAUUGAAAUCUUCUACUUAAUAUUUAUCUCGCAUUCUUGAGGGAUGAAUUUGGAUAUGCGGCUAAAUUCUGCCUGGUGACUAUCAGAGACUACAGGCUCUAAUGCCUUAUUUCAAAUCUUUCAUAGUUGCUCGAGAGGUUGCGACCGAAGUUGUAAAUGAAUCUCAUGCUGAAUUAACUUAAGCUUCAUUUGGGACGGCUUUUUUACUGCUGCUUGAAGCAGCUUUCUAGUAAAAAAAUUUCGAAAGCUGCUUCAAGAAGUAAAAAAGCCGUCCCAAACGAAGCCUUAAACUAGUUCCAAUACAAAGGCCGGUGUGAGAUUCUGGAAUGUUAUCCAACAGUGUUCAGGGGCCUAUCUUUUGAAGUCUGUUGCUACUGCAUGGGCUGCUACACCAGCAAAUAGUUUUGAGCUAAAUUCUUUCAGGCUUCAGUGAAUUGUCAGAAAUGACCUUAUUGCUGAUGAGGAAGAUGGUACAACAUUUAUGUGCAAUGUAGUGUGACAUGUAUAUUGGUUUCUCUUACGAUGAAAAGAUUGUGAGGGGAACAAACUCCAUUUCGUAUUUUUUGAGUUAAAUGAAAAUUUCCAGAACGUUGUUAGCAA